rnacentral:rRNA from 1 species
GACGAACCGUGCGAGCGUUAUUCGGAAUCACUGGGCUUAAAGGGUGCGUAGGCGGCUGAGAGGGUGGGGUGUGAAAUCCCUCGGCUUAACCGAGGAAUUGCGCUCCAAACCGCUUGGCUAGAGUGAGGCAGAGGUGAGCAGAACUAAUAGUGGAGCGGUGAAAUGCGUUGAUAUCAUUAGGAAUACCAGAGGCGAAGGCGGCUCACUGGGCCUCAACUGACGCUGAUGCACGAAAGCUAGGGUAGCGAACGGG